CGAAUUUAAGUCUUCCGUUUUACUUUUUGUUUCAAGCUUUCGGCUCGGCUUUUGCAGAAAGAGAAAGUUAAAAUGGUGAUGUAUAGAACGCAAUUAGUGUUUGUAAUGGUUUAUACCGUUGCGGAAUGUUUAGAAAACCUUAGUCUCUUGCCAGGUUUAAAAUGUAAAGCCUCUCAAAGUUCAUCGUAUGAACAUCCCCCACUCUAUCAACCAGACAAUGCAGUCGAUGGGUACCUGGAAGAGGAGCGAGAGGAUACCUGUAGCUUUACUUUAGCAUCAUAUGGUAUAAGGGAAGCCUGGUGGAAACUAACAUUAAUGCAGAUGUCAAACGUUGCCUAUUUGGAAAUUUAUUUCCGAAAUUCUACAGUGAAUAGGCAUAUUGGAUUUUCCAUGUACUUAUUCAAUGAUUCAUCAUAUGUACCUCCUUCACGCUCUGGAAUUAAAGCAUUUACCCAAAAUCCAUCCUCCUGUCCCGAACAAGUGAUGAAUAUUAC